rnacentral:tRNA from 1 species
GGUCUCGGACGGGACUCGAACCCGCACUUGUCCUUUCCGUGGACCGUGUCUUAUCCCUUAUACUACCGAGAC